UUACUACAUCUAUCUUAUAUGUGUGUACACGAAAGAAUGUGAGUUAAAUAUAAUCAAAUAUAGGUGUACACUGUUACGUGGUAUAGUAACAUUAUAGUUAUAUUUUGUAGUGAUAGGCCUUUCAAGCUUUCUGAUAGCUUGUUGUGUGAGAAAUAUAUUGAGUAUAUAGUUGGACUAUAAAAGUUAAGCUUUAUAGUUAUCAUAAAUAAGUGAAAAGUUGUAUAGCUAUAGCUUAAUCGUUAAGCGGUUUUUUAUAACAAUACUAAGUAACAGCGGUUUAUGUUAGAUAUCAUACAAUAUUGUGUUAUUAUAGAAUAUAAAUAAUGUAAGUAUAAGUAGUAAAAAAGAAUUAUAUUAAAGGAACUCGGCAAAGGUACUGCUCAACUGUUUAUCAAAAACAUAGCUAUAUGUUUUUAUAUAUAGUGUUUCUGCUCAAUGGUAAUCUAAAUAGCCGCAGUACACUGACUGUGCAAAGGUAGCAUAAUCAGUUGGCUUUUAAUUAGAGUCUGGGAUGAAUGAAAGCAUGGGUGGUAACUGUCUUAUUAUUGUAAUAUGUUGAAAUUGAUAAGCAAGUGCAAAUACUUGCAUAUAUAAAAAAGACGAGAAGACCCUAGAAACUUGUGCAAAUUAUUUUGUUGGGGCGACAGAAUUACAUUUAACUAAUUUUACAGUACAUGACGCUAAUCAGGUAGAGUAAGUUACUCUAGGGAUAACAGCAUAAUUUUUACAGUUUGUGACCUCGAUGUUGGACUAGGUAGAUAAUUUUUUAGAAGGAAAUUUAAAUGCUCUGUUCGAGCGAAAAAACCUACAUGAUCUGAGUU
rnacentral:rRNA from 1 species